CCGGGCGUUUUGUGAAUAUUUGUGACCGUUGGAUCGGUAAUAUAUCCAAGGGUCAUGGAUAUUCGAAACAAGCUAACCUAUUGAGAAGGUAUCCCGUUUCGCCGUCACUCUCAGUUCGUCACCGUGCCUCCAGCGUCGGGCCUCCCUGCGCGGCGCUCCUCCGCUUCGCUGUGCUACCACGACUCUCGCUCUCUCUCUGCGCUACUCUGCCUCAGUCUCCCUCUGUUCCACCGCGCCCCUCCACUCCACUGCUCCUCCAGUCCUCUUCAACCUCUCUCCUUGACCGUCGAGGCGUCGACAGCCCUUUCUAUACCCGACGGUGACGGACUAACGGUGUUGAAUAGCCUUGAAGUCUCCAACUUGGUUGCUUUUUUCCUCAAGCAGCAAAGCAGAAAGCCAGAAACUGUUGUUUACACUCUGGGUUCGAUUUCUGGGUUUUCACUUACAUUCUGGGUUUCACUCUUCAAGCUUGGUUAGUUGGUGAAAUCAAGCUUGUUUUGGAUGGUAACUGAACUGCAAACAGUUUGGUAAUUUGGUUGGGAAUUCAAAUUGGAUGGGAAUUGCAAUCAGAGUGUUCGAAUGAUAAUCUGAAUCCUGAAACAAGUCCUGUACAUGGGGAAGCUCCAGUGUUGCUUCAAUCUAGAGAAAAUGAAGAUAUGAUCGUAAAAGUUAUUUGGGAGUAGUGCUACUAAUUUUGUUGGAUUUGGAGCUGUGCAGGUCAACUUGGUGCGUGAUGCUAGUGUUCAAAAGGAAAUUUCUAACUCUGUUGGGAAACAAGCUCUUGUUCUUUCUAUUGUGGAGUGCAAGGGGCUCGAGUUCCAGGUGGUUACAAUGUCUAUCAUUUAGUUUGUUUACACAUAUCAUGCAAAAGCCGUUGAUGAUAUAUGGAUUCGUUGUUGUCCUAGGAUGUACGUUUGUUAAGUAUUUUGGGUCAUCACCCUUAAUAAAUGAAUGGAGGCUGAUAUAUAAUUACAUGAACAUGAUUUGCUAAUAAGACUUGGUGUGGUUUGGUGUGAGAUGCAGCAAGUGAAGUCAGAGAGAGGAAAUCAUUUUCUGAAUUUGGAGAAUUCUGUUUCAGUCCCAAGGAAGAUAACCUAGUAUGCAAUUGAUCGAAAAAAUUGAAUUGCCAAGGACCGGUUACGAGCAUAUUUAUUUUAUGUUCUAUUUAGGGUAUCGAGUUGACCAAUAGAUCGAGACCCAACCGAAGGCAGAAAUUGCUGAAAUUUCUACCACUACCAUAUAUUCGUAUGCAGACACCAUCCAAUGGUGAAAUUUUAAAAAUUCUAUUUCGUCCCCCAUUUUGCUCAUGGAGGGUAACAACUCUAAUAAACAAGUUAGACAACAUUACUAGGUAUAUAUGGAUUAUGUGCGAUUCAAAAAUUUUGAAAUAGAAAUUGAUAAAUCCAAAAAUUCCGAUAUGUUUAUAAAAUAGUGGUAGGUAUUGUAUCAAAAAAUUAGGCCAAUCCGUCGUGAAUAAGACACCCAAUAGAGCAGUCAACGCUUUGUACAAGCAAACUUCUCUAAAGGGAGCGGCACCAUGCGAGGACAAACAUCCCAGAAUUUUUACAUUCGUAAGUAGACCCCCUACCCAUGAG